AUACUUUUUUCUAGAAAAUCGGUUAAACUUGAAAAUAUUUUAUGUUAGAUAACUUUAGGAAUUUAUUCAGGAUGAACGGAGUAAGUAACGUGAUGAUAUUCUUUCAAAAAAAGUAAAGUGAUGAUAUGACAUUAAAACUAAAGAAAAAGAGGAUAAAAUAAGAAAGUAUGUCUAUAACAAAACCAAGAUAUAAACAAAUAUGAUAGGUGAAUAAUGUAGAGAUAAGAUAUGUUAUUGGAAAAAAUAUAUUUUUAAAAAAUAUAUGUUAAAAUCUAGUUUCUAUAUGUAGUAUCUACGUGAAUUGACAAGUAUAGAACCUAGUUCAUACUCCCCCUGUCUUCUAAUUAGUUCGUUCUAUAGAUUUUAGGAUAGAAAGAACAGAAAACGCAUGUAUGUGCUCUCACAUUAUUUUAUAAGACCAGUAUUAAUGGAGAAUUUCAUAACAUAGUUAUCUAGGCUGGCACGUUAGCUUUUGUGUUAAUAACUGUAACAAUAGGUUUUAUUUAAAUGAAACUCUCUCUUUCAUAAAUAAUCUGCUAAGUCAUCAUUUUUGUCGAUGUGUCAGAGGAGUAAGUGCAAAUAAAACUUAAAUAAAAGCUCCCAGAGAUUGGUCUAACCAAACACUAUCAUAAACCUGAUUAAUGAUGAUUAUUUGCUAAAUGACAAGUAAUAUAAUAACUACCAACUUUAUGUAGCUAUUUAGUACAAAGUUGUUUUAUCCCUUAGGGUCCCUUAUAGGUAUAAAUCUAGAUGCUUGUAAGUGCUAUAUUACAUGAUAGAUAGAUUAGCUUAUAGGUUAGAAUUGUCCUUGUCACGUGAGCUCAACUCUUCCACCUGAUCUGUCCAUUUCUUAUCUACUCUCUCCAUGUCAAGUUAUAAGUCAUCCUAAUUUUAUCAAAUUCACUGAUCUCUCGGCCCCUAACUUGGUGCAUAUAAUGAUUGUUUUUAAGUCAUCCCAUAAUAAAUAACAAUUCUUUUUAAUUUAGACAUAUAACAAAAGCAAAGUUGUGAGUUGUAUAAGAACAAUAACUCACAAACUGGUACAAUAACGACAUAUUUCUCUCUCACAUCUCUCUUCUCUAUAUUAUCAAUAAUUUUACACAACACUAUAUGAGCGUAUAAAACCAUUGAUGCUUAGAAUGUAUUUAACCGUAACUAAAACGGGUGCGCGUGGAGAUCUGAAGGGCAUGGGGACCUUUUACACGACACUGCAGCUGGCUGUUUGUAGUGUGACCUUGUUUAGUUCAAAAAAAUUUUAGAAAAGGGAUGAAGUAGUAUUUUUGUUUGUAUGUGAUAAAUAUUGUCUAAUUAUAGACUAACUAAAUUUAAAAGAUUUGUCUCGUA
rnacentral:lncRNA from 1 species